UCGUUUGAUAGAGACAUAGACUCUUGUCCAAAUAUAUUAAUAGCUUCUCGAAUUUUAUUUACUGCACUAGUCAGUCAUUGUAGCAUAAGCUUAACAUCUCAAAAGUUCAAGUUAUUGGGAAACUAUUUGAAAUCAUCAAUGUCACAGGAAAGGCUGAAUGGUCUUGCUACAUUAUGCAUUGAGAAAGAAAAGUUGGAUGAAAUAAAUAUUGAAAUGGUUAUUGAUGACUUUUCUUUCAGAAGUAUUAGGAGAAACAACAAGAUCUGA
rnacentral:rRNA from 1 species